rnacentral:misc_RNA from 1 species
GCAAACUUGGUCAUUUAGAGGAAGUAAAAGUCGUAACAAGGUCUCCGUUGGUGAACCAGCGGAGGGAUCAUUAUUAUAGCUACGUGAGUCGGUAAACUCGCGAAAGCCACCUGUGAAUUAUACUACCUAUUUGCUGCCUCGGUGACCAGGCAAGGAGAAGGGACGAAAAAAAAAUAAAAAGCCCCAAGGGGUGGGUUUUUUUUCGUAGCUUUUCUUCGGGCUGGUGUUGCCGAGGGGCAAGUUGCCUGCACUAAUAGUGAUUACCCGAGCAAUCUUUUCUGAGUCGAACCGAGGGAACGAGUCAAAACUUUCAGCAACGGAUCUCUUGGCUCCGGCAUCGAUGAAGAACGCAGC